rnacentral:rRNA from 1 species
GACGAACGCUGGCGGCGUGCUUAACACAUGCGAGUCGAACGGAAAGGCCCUGCUCUUGCUGCGUGCUCGAGUGGCGAGCGGGUGAGUAAAACGUGAGUAACCCCCCCCUGACUUUGUGGUAAAUUCUGGAAACUCGGGCGCAAACCGGGUAGGAGCUUCUGAUGCAUGGUGGGCGAUGGAGAGUUUCGGUGGUGGGGGAUCGACUAGAAGCUUAUCAGCUUGUUGGGGGGGUAGUGGAGGACGAAGGCUUCGACGGGUAGCCGGCCUGGGAGCGUGGCCGGCCACAUUGCGACUGAGAUACGGCCCAGAAGCGUACGGGAGGCAGCAGUCGGGAAUAUUGCACAAUGAGCGGACGCCUGAUGCAGCAACGCCGCGUGCGGGAUGACGUCCUUCGGGUUGUAAACAUCUUUCGCCUGUGACGAAGAGUUAGUGACGGUAAUGAGUAAAAAAGCACCGGCUAACUACGUG